rnacentral:rRNA from 1 species
UACAUAGGUCGCGAGCGUUAUUCGGAUUUAUUGGGCGUAAAGCGAGCGCAGGCGGACAAAUAAGUUCUAUGUUAAAAGCAGCUGCUCAACAGUUGUUCGCGUCGAAUACUGUUUGUCUAGAAUACGGUAGAAAGUUUUGGAAUUGAAUGUGUAGCGGUGGAAUGUGUAGAUAUAUUCAAGAACACCAGUGGCGAAGGCGAAAACUUAGGCCGUUAUUGACGCUUAGGCUCGAAAGUGUGGGGAGCAAAUG